UUCUCAUCCGGUCCAAGAGGU
ensembl:piRNA 21ur-161 ncRNA